GACGAACGCUGGCGGCGUGCUUAACACAUGCAAGUCGAGCGGUAAGGCCCUUUCGGGGGUACACGAGCGGCGAACGGGUGAGUAACACGUGGGUGACCUGCCCUCAGCUCUGGGAUAAGCCUGGGAAACCGGGUCUAAUACUGGAUAUGACUCCAUGACGCAUGUUGUGGGGUGGAAAGCCUUGUGCGGCUGAGGAUGGGCCCGCGGCCUAUCAGCUUGUUGGUGGGGUGANGGCCUACCAAGGCGACGACGGGUAGCCGGCCUGAGAGGGCGACCGGCCACACUGGGACUGAGACACGGCCCAGACUCCUACGGGAGGCAGCAGUGGGGAAUCUUGCGCAAUGGGCGAAAAGCCUGACGCAGCGACGCCGCGUGAGGGAUGACGCC
rnacentral:rRNA from 1 species